CACUCCUGCGGGAGGCAGCAGUGGGGAAUAUUGGACAAUGGGCGCAAGCCUGAUCCAGCCAUGCCGCGUGAGUGAUGAAGGCCCUAGGGUUGUAAAGCUCUUUCACCGGUGAAGAUAAUGACGGUAACCGGAGAAGAAGCCCCGGCUAACUUCGUGCCAGCAGCCGCGGUAAUACGAAGGGGGCUAGCGUUGUUCGGAUUUACUGGGCGUAAAGCGCACGUAGGCGGACUAUUAAGUCAGGGGUGAAAUCCCGGGGCUCAACCCCGGAACUGCCUUUGAUACUGGUAGUCUUGAGUUCGAGAGAGGUGAGUGGAAUUCCGAGUGUAGAGGUGAAAUUCGUAGAUAUUCGGAGGAACACCAGUGGCGAAGGCGGCUCACUGGCUCGAUACUGACGCUGAGGUGCGAAAGCGUGGGGAGCAAACAGGAUUAGAAACCCCUGUAGUCCCAUGA
rnacentral:rRNA from 1 species